UACAGAGGUCCCAAGCGUUGUUCGGAUUCACUGGGCGUAAAGGGUGCGUAGGCGGUCGGGCAAGUCUGAUGUGAAAUCUCGCAGCUUAACUGCGAAACUGCAUUGGAUACUAUCCGGCUCGAGGAAUGGAGGGGAGACUGGAAUACUUGGUGUAGCAGUGAAAUGCGUAGAUAUCAAGUGGAACACCAGUGGCGAAGGCGAGUCUCUGGACAUUUCCUGACGCUGAGGCACGAAAGCCAGGGGAGCAAACGGG
rnacentral:rRNA from 1 species